CGGCGAUGCCUACACAUGCAGUCAACGGAAAGGCCCGCUUGCGGGUACUCGAGUGGCGAACGGGUGAGUACACGUGGGUGAUCUGCCCUGGACUCUGGGAUAAGCCUGGGAAACUGGGUCUAAUACCGGAUAUGACCUUACAUCGCAUGGUGUUUGGUGGAAAGCUUUUGCGGUUCAGGAUGGGCCCGCGGCCUAUCAGCUUGUUGGUGGGGUAAUGGCCUACCAAGGCGACGACGGGUAGCCGACCUGAGAGGGUGAUCGGCCACACUGGGACUGAGACACGGCCCAGACUCCUACGGGAGGCAGCAGUGGGGAAUAUUGCACAAUGGGCGCAAGCCUGAUGCAGCGACGCCGCGUGAGGGAUGACGGCCUUCGGGUUGUAAACCUCUUUCACCAGCGACGAAGCGCAAGUGACGGUACCUGGAGAAGAAGCACCGGCCAACUACGUGCC
rnacentral:rRNA from 1 species